rnacentral:rRNA from 1 species
UACGGGGGGGGCAAGCGUUGUUCGGAAUUACUGGGCGUAAAGGGUUCGUAGGUGGCCUACUAAGUCAGACGUGAAAUCCCUCAGCUUAACUGGGGAACUGCGUCUGAUACUGGGGGGCUUGAGGACAGGAGAGGAACGCGGAAUUCCAGGUGUAGCGGUGAAAUGCGUAGAUAUCUGGAGGAACACCGGUGGCGAAGGCGGCGUUCUGGACUGUUUCUGACACUGAGGAACGAAAGCCAGGGGAGCAAAC